UACGUAGGGGGCUAGCGUUGUCCGGAAUCAUUGGGCGUAAAGCGCGCGUAGGCGGUCAGGUAAGUCCGGUGUGAAAGUCAAAGGCUCAACCUUUGAAUGCCGCUGGAUACUGCUUGACUUGAGUCCGGAAGGGGCGAGUGGAAUUCCGGGUGUAGCGGUGGAAUGCGUAGAUAUUCGCAAGAACACCAGUGGCGAAGGCGGCUCACUGGUCCGGUACUGACGCUGAGGUGCGAAAGCGUGGGGAGCAAACAGGG
rnacentral:rRNA from 1 species